AUUGAACGCUGGCGGCAGGCUUAACACAUGCAAGUCGCGCGCGCGGCGGACGGGUGAGUAAUGUCUGGGAACCUGCCUGAUGGAGGGGGAUAACUCCUGGCAACGGUAGCUAAUACCGCAUACCAUCAGAUGUGCCCAUAUGGGAUUAGCUAGUAGGUGGGGUAAUGGCUCACCUAGGCGACGAUCCCUAGCUGGUCUGAGAGGAUGACCAGCCACACUGGAACUGAGACACGGUCCAGACUCCUACGGGAGGCAGCAGUGGGGAAUAUUGCGCAAUGGGCGAAAGCCUGAUGCAGCCAUGCCGCGUGUGUGAUGAAGGCCUUCGGGUUGUAAAGCACUUUCAGCAGGGAGGCGUUACUCGCAGAAGAAGCACCGGCUAACUCCGUGCCAGCAGCCGCGGUAAUAC
rnacentral:rRNA from 1 species